rnacentral:rRNA from 1 species
CACGUAGGGACCAAGCGUUGUCCGGAUUUAUUGGGCGUAAAGCGCUCGUAGGCGGUUCGGUAAGUCGGGUGUGAAACCUCCAGGCUCAACCUGGUGACGCCACCCGAUACUGCCGUGACUUGAGUUCGGUAGGGGAGCGGGGAAUUCCUGGUGUAGCGGUGAAAUGCGCAGAUAUCAGGAGGAACACCUGCGGUGUAGACGGCUUACUGGACGGUAACUGACGCUGAGGCACGAAAGCGUGGGUAGCAAACAGG